ACUAUAACGGAUCACCUGGCACCCCGACUGGGUACCUCCGUUGAAGGAUGCUCCUAGCGCUUCCUGAGGACUCCAAGCACUCUGGCAGACACCACAAUCACCGAACCGGAGAAACAAAUAAAUUCUCCCAAGCAUGUGAAUGCUGUAGACAGUUGAAUAGGAACCAUACGAAUAGGUUUACUCUCCUAGCAGUCAAACUGGAACAGCAUACAAUAAAUCCUUCCCCCAAUAAUGAGACGACACUUCACUUUGAGGGUUAAAACAGGAACUCCUGUACUGUCACAUACAGUCUCUUUUAUUCCCAAUCCACAAACAUAGUACAGCCCACAGGGCGUUACAAAACAACCAAUCAAUCCGUACAAUACACCCAGACACUCCCACACAAACUCCUCCCCUCUGCCUGUGAUAUGAUUACUGAACACAAUGGGUAAUCUCAUUAUCACCGGCAGAGGAAUACAGUUUUUAC